rnacentral:rRNA from 1 species
GACGAACGCUGGCGGCGUGCUUAACACAUGCAAGUCGAGCGGAGAGGCGAAUGGGCGAGUAACGCGGGAGUAACUGCCCCCCUCUCUGGGAUAACGGUUGGAAAAGGCUGCUAAUACCGGAUAGUGGGGGAUGACUCGCGUCCUAUCAGCUUGUUGGUGGGGUAUUGGCCUACCAAGGCGACGACGGGUAGCCGGCGUGAGAGGGCAACCGGCCCCAGUUGGGUGAGAUACGGCCCAAACUCCUACGGGAGGCAGCAGGGGGGAAUAUUGCACAAGGGGGGAAACCCUGAUGCAGCAAGGCGGGGGCGUGGUGACGGCCAGCUGUGUGUAAGACGCAGUCAGUCAUGACGCGGUAGUAGCAGAAGAAGUACCGGCUAAUCCCGUGCCAGCAGCCGCGGUAAUUC